rnacentral:rRNA from 1 species
GACGAAGGGCUCGACUGUUAUUCGUUUUGAUUGGGUGUAAAGGGUAAGUAGGCGGUCAACUGAACAGCAUUGGGUUAAAGCGCGGAGUGUUCCUACGCGAAAGCCCGAGUCCUUGAGGUUACGACUAGUGUUGAAGGGGGGUUUAGGCAAAUUGGUACGUAGGGGUAGAAUCCAUCGAUGUACGAAUGAACGCCAGCUGGCAAAGGCGCUUUUCCUGAUUCAACAGACGCUGAGGUACGGAAGCGUAGGGAGCAAACGGG